rnacentral:rRNA from 1 species
AUACGGAGGAUGCGAGCGUUAUCCGGAUUUAUUGGGUUUAAAGGGUGCGUAGGCUGUGCGUUAAGUCAGGGGUGAAAUGCCGUCGCUCAACGACGGAGCUGCCCUUGAUACUGGCGUGCUGGAGUACGGAUGCCGUUGGAGGCUUGAGUGGUGUAGCGGGGAAAUGCUUAGAUAUCACUCAGAACACCGAUUGCGAAGGCAUCUGACGAAUCCGUCAUUGACGCUGAGGCACGAAAGCGUGGGGAUAGAACAGGAUUAGAUACCCUGGUAGUCCACGCCGUAAACGAUGAUGACUAACCGUCGGCGAUAGACAGCCGGUGGCCAAGCGAAAGCGAUAAGUCAUCCACCUGGGGAGUACGUCGGCAACGAUGAAACUCAAAGGAAUUGACGGGG